rnacentral:rRNA from 1 species
GAUGAACGCUGGCGGCGUGCCUAAUACAUGCAAGUCGAGCGAACAGACGAGGAGCUUGCUCCUCUGACGUUAGCGGCGGACGGGUGAGUAACACGUGGAUAACCUACCUAUAAGACUGGGAUAACUUCGGGAAACCGGAGCUAAUACCGGAUAAUAUAUUGAACCGCAUGGUUCAAUAGUGAAAGACGGUUUUGCUGUCACUUAUAGAUGGAUCCGCGCCGCAUUAGCUAGUUGGUAAGGUAACGGCUUACCAAGGCAACGAUGCGUAGCCGACCUGAGAGGGUGAUGGGCAACCCGGGAACUGGGACCCGGUCCAGACCCCUAGGGGGGGCAGCAGUAGGGAAUCUUCCGCAAUGGGCGAAAGCCUGACGGAGCAACGCCGGGGGAGGGAUGAAGGUCUUCGGAUCGUAAAACUCUGUUAUGAGGAAAGAAAAAAUGGGUAAGUAACUAUGCACGUCUUGACGGUACCUAAUCAAAAAGCCCCGGCUAACUACGU